UAUAAAGGCCCUCAUUCAGUUUGGCAGAAGAAAAGGAUAGCGCCGCCUCUCGUUUGCCUUUCUCUGCCAUUUCAAGUCCCGAGCCUCUGCCCAUUCGACUCCGAUUCGCAGAGGAGGAGAAGGUGUCAUCGGCGCAUCCACGAAGGUACGGCGUCUUUGUUGCAGGUGUCGCUGGCGUGAGGCCGUACGUUGACGUGGCUCAGCUCGACGCGAGGGAAAAGGCUCGGAGGCGCACGUGGGGAAGCCACACAUGGGGGCUUGCGGCGGCUGAAAUCUUAGAAACCCUAGGGUUUCUGCUUGUUUCAAUUCUGGGCUAGGGGUAUCGGGCCACUGUAAUUGGGCCGCUUGGGUUUAAGAUAGUUGGGCUAGCUGAAUGUAAUUGGGUUUGAGCCAUGUUUGGCCUAGAAUUUUUGAAAUUUGGACUGGACUUUUUUAAUUUUAAUUUGGUUUUAUUUUA